CAAUGCCCGAAAGGGUGACGAAGCGACGCCGCGUGUGGGAAGAAGGCCUUCGGGUUGUAAACCACUGUCGGGAGUUAGGAAAUGUAAGGGUGCUAAUAGUAUCCUUACUUGACUAAGGCUCCGGAGGAAGCCACGGCUAACUCUGUGCCAGCAGCCGCGGUAAUACAGAGGCGGCAAGCGUUGUUCGGAAUUAUUGGGCGUAAAGAGCACGUAGGCGGCCUUGUAAGUCAGUUGUGAAAGCCUUCUGCUUAACGGAAGAACAGCAGCUGAUACUGCAAGGCUAGAGUGCGGAAGGGGAGAGUGGAACUUCUGGUGGAGCGGUGAAAUGCGUAGAUAUCAGAAGGAACACCGGCGGCGAAGGCGACUCUCUGGUCCGUAACUGACGCUGAGUGUGCGAAAGCUAGGGGAGCAAACGGGAUUAGAUACCCCGGUAGUCCUAGCCGUAAACGAUGGGCACU
rnacentral:rRNA from 1 species